rnacentral:rRNA from 1 species
UAUUGGACAAUGGGGGCAACCCUGAUCCAGCCAUGCCGCGUGUGUGAAGAGGGCCCUCGGGUUGUAAAGCACUUUCAGCCCCCCCCCCCCGCCUAGUGGUUAAUACCCAUUAGGAAAGACAUCACUCGCAGAAGAAGCACCGGCUAACUCCGUGCCAGCAGCCGCGGUAAUACGGAGGGUGCAAGCGUUAAUCGGAAUUACUGGGCGUAAAGCGCGCGUAGGUGGCUUGAUAAGCCGGUUGUGAAAGCCCCGGGCUCAACCUGGGAACGGCAUCCGGAACUGUCAGGCUAGAGUGCAGGAGAGGAAGGUAGAAUUCCCGGUGUAGCGGUGAAAUGCGUAGAGAUCGGGAGGAAUACCAGGGCGAAGGCGGCCUUCGGACUACACUACACGAGGGCGAAA